rnacentral:tRNA from 4 species
GCGGGUGUAGUUCAAUGGUAGAACGAGAGCUUCCCAAGCUCUAUACGAGAGUUCGAUUCUCUUCACCCGCUCCA